UGUUAUUUAACAAGGCAACAUGCCAUACAAACAUGGAUAUGGCUCAGUAUGAUGUGUCAUGACCAAAAAUAAAUAAAUAAACAUCUGAGUUUAGAACAUGCAUAUUGCGACAUCUAGCGAGCACACUUGGUGGUCUUGUGUGAAUUUGUCCAGAUCCUGUUGGAAAGUGCUCUUCUAUGCCAUGUGUCAGUGUAUUUUACAGCCACUUUAUGCCAGGGUAGAGCUACAUCAAGCUGAGUAUUCAUCAGACCUGACUGACACCGAAGGUGGCUCAAGAAGAAGAAAGUAGGUGUGUGCGGGAAUACAGGUUAAUAGUAAUAUCCCCUAGAAAUAAUAUGGAAGCAGUAGGUAUGGUGUGCUGUAUAUGUUUAUGUUAACCUCUCUAGAGCAAGUGCAAAACUCCUCCAGAGUUAAGUGAGCAGCCAAUCAGAAUCAAGUGAGUAUGCCGAUUCGGAGUACGAACUUCCACUCACUCCCUCAGACCAGCUCCUUGGGCCAGCAGUGAAGAAAAUAACCAGCUGGGUCACCAGCCCCACUGUCCAGCGAGUCACCAGCCCCACUGUCCAGCGAGUCACCAGCCCCACUGCUCAAGUCACCAGCCCCAUUGCCCAAUGAGUCGCCAGCCCCACUGCCCAGAGGGUUGCCAGGCCCACUUGUGAAGACAUGUUCUCUAAACUUACAAUUGUAGAAGAAGUGAAGUAGACCCAACAGGUUCAUGGUAAGAUGUUAAAUGUCCUGCUGAAGGAGCAAGAUGGAUCGGUGGUAGAGGUCCCUGAAGGAGUGGUCUUCCCUCUGAAAACCCAAGCUGAUGCUGAGGCUCUUGAUGAGAAGCUGUUGCCAUGGUGGCAGAUGUAGGGGGCACAAGUGUGGAUGAUGUAACAAGAAGAAUGAUGAAAUACGUCUUAUCAAAUAAGCUGGCAAUGGAGUACAAUAUGUUUGGCCGUCACAGGAAAAAUAUUCUUCAAGCUUACUGAUGUUGAAAGCAGACGUUUUCAUAACUUUCUCAAUUCUGAACCUUUUGUCAAUUUUGCUUCAGACAGUUAUAUUUGACUGUAAACAACCUUCUAAAAGGGUUAGAUUAAAAAAUGGUUAACUUAUUCUUUAAUGUCAUUUUUGUCAUAGAUAACUUUGAAAAGAUACCUUUUCAUCCGGCAAUGUUCUUUAUUAUUGCCUCUGGAAAUGACAUAGAAUGGACUACAGAAAUAUUUCUUAAAUGAGUGUAAUCAGACAUCCAAGGCAUUUGUUUAUGAGGGUGUGAAUCCUUUACAAUAAUUGUUUUUUGAUGUUAUAGUCCAAUAUAUCCUAA